AAAUUCAUUGUUUAUAUUUGCGAUAUAGCCUAACGUUGACUUGUUGAGUUUGCGUAAAUUAUUCUCAUAUCGAGUUGGCCAUGAAUUCAAUUUCCCAACUGAAUUUUCUAUUUAGUUUACAAAAAUUCCUACUUCCAACAGUCUUAAACACAUCUUCCAUCUAUACACAUUUCCGAAAUGGAAUAAAUACAAAGCUGCAGUUUAAUAAACAACAAACAAGAACGCAAUGGAGAGAAUUGGUGCAUUCAAAAUACAACUGAAAAAUAGUGAAAAAUAGAACCACACAAUCGAGAGAAAAAAAUAAUAAAAAAAGAGUAUACACAAAUUAGAUAUAAGCAUAAAGUGUAACCCAAAUAAAAAAUCAAAAA